rnacentral:rRNA from 1 species
UCCCUGAGGUGAAAGAUCCGUCGGUCCGGGAUGGGCAUGCGGCGCAUUAGCUAGUUGGCGGGGUAACGGCCCACCAAGGCGACGAUGCGUAGGGGUUCUGAGAGGAAGGUCCCCCACACUGGUACUGAGACACGGACCAGACUCCUACGGGAGGCAGCAGUGAGGAAUAUUGGUCAAUGGGCGGUAGCCUGAACCAGCCAAGUCGCGUGCGGGAUGAAGGCCCUCCGGGUCGUAAACCGCUUUAGCCGGGGAGUAACGUGGGGGACGCGUCCCGCAGUGAGAGUACCCGGAGAAUAAGCAUCGGCUAACUCCGUGCCAGCAGCCGCGGUAAUACGGAGGAUGCGAGCGUUAUCCGGAUUUAUUGGGUUUAAAGGGUGCGCAGGCGGCGUGUCAAGUCAGCGGUCAAACUGCGGGGCUCAACCCCGUACCGCCGUUGAAACUGGCAUGCUCGAGUUCGUGCGAUGGUGGCGGAAUGCGCGGUGUAGCGGUGAAAUGCAUAGAUAUCGCGCAGAACUCCGAUUGCGAAGGCAGCUGCCAAGCACUGGACUGACGCUCAUGCACGAAAGCGUGGGUAUCGAAC